GACGAACGCUGGCGGCGUGCUUAACACAUGCAAGUCGAACGGAAAGGCCCUGCUUGCAGGGUGCUCGAGUGGCGAACGGGUGAGUAACACGUGGGUGAUCUGCCCCUUACUUUGGGAUAAGCCUGGGAAACUGGGUCUAAUACUGGAUAGGACCAUGCUGUAGGUGGUGUGGUGGAAAGAUUAGUUUCGGUAAGGGAUGAGCUCGCGGCCUAUCAGCUUGUUGGUGGGGUAAUGGCCUACCAAGGCGUCGACGGGUAGCCGGCCUGAGAGGGUGGACGGCCACAUUGGGACUGAGAUACGGCCCAGACUCCUACGGGAGGCAGCAGUGGGGAAUAUUGCACAAUGGGCGCAAGCCUGAUGCAGCGACGCCGCGUGGGGGAUGACGGCCUUCGGGUUGUAAACUCCUUUCAGCCAUGACGAAGCCUUCGGGUGACGGUAGUGGUAGAAGAAGCGCCGGCUAACUACGUGC
rnacentral:rRNA from 1 species